AUUGAACGCUGGCGGCAUGCCUUACACAUGCAAGUCGAACGGCAGCACGGGGGCAACCCUGGUGGCGAGUGGCGAACGGGUGAGUAAUACAUCGGAACGUGCCCAGUAGUGGGGGAUAGCCCGGCGAAAGCCGGAUUAAUACCGCAUACGACCUAUGGGUGAAAGCGGGGGAUCGCAAGACCUCGCGCUAUUGGAGCGGCCGAUGUCAGAUUAGGUUGUUGGUGGGGUAAAAGCCUACCAAGCCGACGAUCUGUAGCUGGUCUGAGAGGACGACCAGCCAAACUGGGACUGGGACACGGACCUGACUCCUACGGGAGGCAGCAGUGGGGAAUUUUGGACAAUGGGGGCAACCCUGAUCCAGCCAUGCCGCGUGCGGGAAGAAGGCCUUCGGGUUGUAAACCGCUUUUGUCAGGGAAGAAAUCUUUCGAGCCAAUACCUUGAAAGGAUGACGGUACCUGAAGAAUAAGCACCGGCUAACUACGUGCCAGCCGCCGCCGUAAUAC
rnacentral:rRNA from 1 species